UUCACAGGACCAUGCUAUGAGCCAGAACUGCGUGAAGAAAUUUUGUUUGUUUACUUCUGCCAACCCAAGAAGAACAUCUGUGCAUUGAAAAUUAACGAAAGAACCUUUUGGAGAAAGAUUUUCUUGAACUUGGAUAGGGUGUCACUAAAGGAGUCAAGGGAUGCAGCAGCGAGUCAGAGAAGUAAACACUCCCAUUCAAAUAAUGACGCUGUGUCCGACCGACGUCGGACGGCUGUCCUCGCAUCGCAGGUGGACAGGGUCAGGCUGAGGAAAUUGGCCAUGAAGGUCAUGAGUCAUGAACCUGACAGGAAGAGACGAAAAUUUGCCGGAGGUGGUCGCAAAAGACGAUUAAAUCUGCUAUUUUUGCAUCUGGCAGGCCAAGUUUGGAGAUGAGUCUGUUGCUUGGCGGCCGAAAAAUUUAGAUUUGGAUGAAAACGCUAAGGUGCUCCAGGAGGAUUCUUCAGGAAAUUUGGUGGGCAUGUUGAGCAGUGUUGGGCGCAGUUGGAAGAGGUUGAUCUGGCCAAAUACACAAGAAAAUCCCUAGGAAGAGAAAUUACUUCAGUGGAGUGCGUUUUACUGCUGGAUCACGUCAAAGUGAUGCACAAAGAAGCCAUCAAAUGCGGAAUUUUUGGCUGCACGACAUUCUUUCACAGUGAGGAGGAAAAAGAGCAGCACAUGCAGCAGGAUUUUCAAAAGAAACGUAACAAAUUAAUGCGAAUUUGGAGAAAACAUCAAUAUUUUUCCCUCAUUGAUAACGUAGAGGCUUCAUGUGAGUUUCCUGCAUCCGGAAUUUCCGUUGGCGUGCCCGCGUUUUGGCUGCAAAAAUCACUUCAAAUCCAAGUUGGAAAUGAUUCUCCACGUCAACUCGAGAGUCGAGGCACAAACUAAACCGAGAAGUUAACCAAUGCAAGCAUUGCGAGUAGAUAUCUAAACUAGCUGCGCCACACCAGCCAGCCACUGACA